rnacentral:rRNA from 1 species
CCUCGAAAGAGGUGCUAAUACCGCAUAAUGCAGCGGCACCUAAUGGUGAAUAGUUGUUAAAGCGGGGGAGUCGCAAGACCUCGCGCCUGAAGAGGAGCCUGCGGCAGAUUAGCUUGUUGGUGAGGUAAUGGCUCACCAAAGCUGCGAUCUGUAGCUGGUCUGAGAGGACGGCCAGCCACACUGGCACUGACACACGGGCCAG